GAUGAACGCUGGCGGCGUGCCUAAUACAUGCAAGUCGAGCGAACAGACGAGGAGCUUUCUCCUCUGACGUUAGCGGCGGACGGGUGAUUAACACGUGGAUAACCUACCUAUAAGACUGGGUUAACUUCGGGAAACCGGAGCUAAUACCGGAUAAUAUAUUGAACCGCAUGGUUCAAUAGUGAAAGACGGUUUUGCUGUCACUUAUAGAUGGAUCCGCGCCGCAUUAGCUAGUUGGUAAGGUAACGGCUUACCAAGGCAACGAUGCGUAGCCGACCUGAGAGGGUGAUCGGCCACACUGGAACUGAGACACGGUCCAGACUCCUACGGGAGGCAGCAGUAGGGAAUCUUCCGCAAUGGGCGAAAGCCUGACGGAGCAACGCCGCGUGAGUGAUGAAGGUCUUCGGAUCGUAAAACUCUGUUAUUAGGGAAGAACAAAUGUGUAAGUAACUAUGCACGAAUUGACGGUACCUAAUCAGAAAGCCACGGCUAACUACGUG
rnacentral:rRNA from 1 species